AAUAGUUUUAUGUCACAUUAGUACUCUUAUCCUGAAUUUCAGGAUUUUAUCCAAAAAAAAAUUAAAUCCAAAUUAAAAUCCUAAAAUUCAGGAUAAGAAUACUGAUGUGGCAUAAAACUAUU
rfam:Gossypium arboreum cultivar AKA8401 contig_18769_1, whole genome shotgun sequence.